rnacentral:lncRNA from 1 species
CUUGUCAGCAAUUGCUUGAGACAAGCUUCCCCUCCACCAUGUGUGAAAGCUACUUGGCGUGAAUGCCCAGACUGUACCAAGUGGCGGCGAGUCAUGAGGGGGGGAGCUGCAAGAAAAACAGACCCACACAGAGACAAUAGGCCCCUGAAGUGUUCCCCCUGAGUUGCUUUGAUGAUGUCCUAGUGUCUAGAUGCUAGAGGGGACCAGGGCUUGCGAGGAAGAAGAAGUCUUUGUGUGCACUCUUUUCACCGGCCAGGACAAAAGAGUGGGGAGUAAGAAGCCCAAAGAGAAGAAAAAACACCAAACAAAUGAAAACCAAAGCGCUCCUCUAGAUGUUUUGUGUCCGCGGUAGUGGGGAAGCGAGGGAAGGAGAGAUCGAGUGAGGAGGAGAAGAGAGCUGCGGUAGCACAGGUUGAUUGGCCCAUUUUUCUCUGCUGCUGUGAAUGAUAAGCAAUGUGAGAUAAACAGCAGUGUGGACACGGACGCGGACAGAGACAGGGUCUGGUGUCUAUCGCCCAGACGGAGACCCUCUGUGUCGGAGGGUCGCCAUGGUGACGGCCAGGGCCCAUCCCAGAUGGGGUCCAUGUUACAGACACAAAAACCCCUCCUACUCGUCCCCCUACUCGUCCCCAUGCAGCGAGCAGACGUGCCACUGCUGCUCCACGGCUCUGGGCCCGUUUGUGUGGCUGCUAUGUGGUGGCAGCAGGCAGGCAGAGGGGAUUCAACCCAGGACCUGAGUCAGCCUGCCA